UGUUGGUUACCCACAGAUCAGAAGCGCAAUCAGCUAAUGGUGAGUCACCUAGCCAAGUUGAGGACGGGUACCGGGGAGAGACAAGACAAGACAAAGGUCAAGGAGUAUGCUGGAGGUUUGUUCAGUCGUCUUGAGGCCCAGUUCAGAGCCUCCUCACAGAUCUCUAAGCCCCCAGCCAUGCAGGUGACUUUACAAAGAGCUAAAACAAGGGCCAAUCAGCUACGGACAACUUGAAAAAAAAAAAAAGAUCUACAAAAUACAGCAAAGUUGAUGGACUACGCAAGUCGGUGAAAGAAGUAGAUUCGGUCGGCAGUAGAUGAUUGCUCCCAUCUGGAGACUUAGAAAUUGUUACAUGCUGUGAAUGCACACUUUACCAGCUUUGAAAAUGUGAUAUAUGUACAUGCACGGGUUUUCCAACUUUCUUAGCCACCGCACCUUUUAACC